GUUAAUUAGUAAUAAACUCAUGCAAAAUACUCUAAUGGAUAACAUUAAAACCCCAAAAAAGAGAGAAAAUCAAGAUAAAAGAAAUUUUAAUUUGUGUCUACGUCCAUGGAGUCAAGAUUUCUGCAAUGAAUUGAAGGAGAAAAUACAGUUGCCUACAAAGUCAAGAUUUUUCUUGUAUAUAGAGGUAUAGGAAAAAACAUGACAAUACAAAAAUGCUUCCCAUAAUUAAUAAUUCCCAAAGCAAACAAAUCUGCCCUAAGCAAAUUGAAUUUAACUCUUAAAAUUCAGUUUCCACAAUCCAACUAUUUUGUUUUAAUAAGUACACAUAUACCUCAG
rnacentral:misc_RNA from 1 species